GCCAGACGACAGGGGCGCUUGAGACGCUCAAGCUGAGAUGCACCCUUAGAACCUGAACCGGAUAAUACCGGCGUAGGAAGUCGCGGUGUCAUCACA
rnacentral:ncRNA from 2 species